rnacentral:rRNA from 1 species
UACGUAGGGAGCGAGCGUUAUCCGGAUUUAUUGGGCGUAAAGAGUGCGCAGCCGGUUUAUUAAGUCUAAGAUGAAAGCCCGAAGCUCAACUUCGGUUUGUUUUAGAAACUGGUAGGCUAGAGUAUGGUAGAGGCAAAUGGAAUUUCUAGUGUAGCGGUGGAAUGUGUAGAUAUUAGAAGGAACACCAGUGGCGAAGGCGAUUUGCUGGGCCAGCACUGACGGUCAUGCACGAAAGCGUGGGGAGCAAAUA